rnacentral:rRNA from 1 species
GAUGAACGCUGGCGGCGUGCCUAAUACAUGCAAGUCGAGCGAACAGACGAGGAGCUUGCUCCUCUGACGUUAGCGGCGGACGGGUGAGUAACACGUGGAUAACCUACCUAUAAGACUGGGAUAACUUCGGGAAACCGGAGCUAAUACCGUAUAAUAUAUUGAACCGCAUGGUUCAAUAGUGAAAGACGGUUUUGCUGUCACUUAUAGAUGGAUCCGCGCCGCAUUAGCUAGUUGGUAAGGUAACGGCUUACCAAGGCAACGAUGCGUAGCCGACCUGAGAGGGUGAUCGGCCACACUGGAACUGAGACACGGUCCAGACUCAUAAGGGAGGCAGCAGUAGGGAAUCGUCCGCAAAGGGCGAAAGCCUGACGGAGCAACGCCGCGUGAGUGAUGAAGGUCUUCGGAUCGUAAAACUCUGUUAUUAGGGAAGAACAAAUGUGUAAGUAACUAUGCACGUCUUGACGGUACCUAAUCAGAAAGCCAAGGCUAACUACGUG